CGGGAGUGACUUAGCGGCGGACGGGUGAGUAACGCGUGGGUAACCUGCCCCAUACCGGGGGAUAACGGUUAGAAAUGACCGCUAAUACCGCUUAAGCGCGCGAGGCCGCAUGGCCGCGCGCGAAAAACUCCGGUGGUAUGGGAUGGGCCCGCGUCUGAUUAGCUAGUUGGCGGGGUAACGGCCCACCAAGGCGACGAUCAGUAGCCGACCUGAGAGGGUGGCCGGCCACAUUGGGACUGAGACACGGCCCAAACUCCUACGGGAGGCAGCAG
rnacentral:rRNA from 1 species